CCUACGGGGGGCAGCAGUGAGGAAUAUUGGUCAAUGGACGAGAGUCUGAACCAGCCAAGCAGCGUGAAGGAUGACUGCCUUAUGGGUUUUAAACUCCUUUUAUAUGGGAAUAAAACAGGGUAUGCAUACCCUCCUGUAUGUCCCAUAUGAAUAAGGAUCGGCCAACUCCGUGCCAGCAGCCGCGGUAAUACGGAGGAUCCGAGCGUUAUCCGGACUUAUUGGGUUUAAAGGGAGCGUAGGUGGAUGGUUAAGUCAGUUUUGAAAGUUUGCGGCUAAACCGUAGAAUUGCAGUUGAAACUGGCAGUCUUGAGUGCAGGAGAGGUGGGCGGAAUUCGUGGUGUAGCGGUGAAAUGCUUAGAUAUCACGAAGAACUCCGAUUGCGAAGGCAGCUCACUGGACUGCAACUGACGCUGAUGCUCGAAAGUGUGGGUAUCAAACAGGAUUAGAUACCCCAGUAGUC
rnacentral:rRNA from 1 species